UUUCAUAAUGCUGUACCUUUUUUUCUGUCCUACAUGAUUUUCAAACACGAGAAAUUGAACUCCAUCACGUCCAUCUGGUGGCGAUCUCGCGUAUUGCUCGCGAAUGAGUGAUAAAACGUACCAAAAUAACGGAAAGUUAUCUUUUUCAUAUUGUCUUUUCGGCAAUACGAAAAAACAUCUUUUAGUCGACCUUUUGCUUUGCGAAAAUAACAAUCAAGAAAGAUGACGAAAAGACCUUUUUUAAACAUCUUUUCGCUUUGUCGGACAACUUAAAAGGACCUCUUUUCGUUAUCUUUUAAUAUUUUGUGCUGUCUAGAAUGUAUAUAUUUCAACGUAUCGCUAAAAUUAACAUCAUUCAAAAUUACUAGUUAAUACCCGUAUCAAGUGCAUGAUAAAGUGAAUGCAGAACAGAGACACAAACAAAAUACUAUUUCACGACUGAACGACUGUUUCAUGCAACUACAAAAUUUUGGUCUUCCUUCUGCAGUUUUUACGUGCAAACCGAUUUCUAAUUUAUGACACUGUCGCGUAUUAAUUUGAAACUGUGCCAUGGCCAGAGAUCGGAAACUUUUUCAUCCAAAAAGCAUACGUCGACAUCGCACUGCGUUUGAUCGUGCAUACAGGUCACCCUCGGCGCGACAUUAUGACAAGGAAUAUUCUCCCCGACAGGACGUUGAAAAAGCAACAGUAUUCGAUUUGGUGUACAAAUAUCUAGGCAAAUGUGCCAACCGAAACAUAAAGACGAGACAGCGAUACUGUGCGUGUAACAAAUUCAAUAAGCGACACGCGAGAAAGAAAGAAAUUCAUAGACAUGACUUGGCGACAAUUCAUACAAAUCUCGACGAAGAAAUUGCUGGUGACGAUGGCAAGCGGUCUCGAUCAUGCACAAAUAAAAAUAUCCUUAAAAGAGCAUCUAGAAGCUCGUCGAAAGAAUAUAUCGCCGAUUAUACAAAAGCUGUUCGCAAUGGUACAUAAAAAUCCUGGUGAUAAUAAAAAUCGAAGCGACGAAGACGUGCAAAAUUUUACAUACGGGAAGCACUUAUAUGCGGUUUGCAAUACGGAUUGUUAAUCCCAAUCGAUUUACGGAAAAACAUACUGCGCGUUUCACGAAAGAUAGGAGUUCUAAUAAACGCGAAAAAAAAAAGUAAAGAUCCAUCGAAUGUUGCGACUAGCGGUACUGAGCAUUCUGUGUAAGAUUGACAGAUUUGAUCGUAAUAAAUUCAAUCAUCAAAAGA